rnacentral:rRNA from 1 species
GACAGAGGGUGCAAACGUUGUUCGGAAUUACUGGGCGUAAAGCGCGUGUAGGCGGCUCUGCAAGUCGGGUGUGAAAUCCCAUGGCUCAACCAUGGAAGUGCACUCGAAACUGCAGGGCUAGAGUCCUGGAGAGGAAGGUGGAAUGCUUGGUGGUAGAGGUGAAAUUCGUAGAUAUCAGGAGGAACACCAAUGGCGAAGGCAGCUCGCUGGAACGGUACUGACGCUGAGGCGCGAAAGCGUGGGAGGCGACGAGGAAUUGAG